rnacentral:rRNA from 1 species
UGGGGAAUUUUGGACAAUGGGCGCAAGCCUGAUCCAGCCAUUCCGCGUGCAGGAUGAAGGCCUUCGGGUUGUAAACUGCUUUUGUACGGAACGAAAAGGUGGCCUCUAAUACAGGUUGCUGAUGACGGUACCGUAAGAAUAAGCACCGGCUAACUACGUGCCAGCAGCCGCGGUAAUACGUAGGGUGCAAGCGUUAAUCGGAAUUACUGGGCGUAAAGCGUGCGCAGGCGGUUUUGUAAGACAGAGGUGAAAUCCCCGGGCUCAACCUGGGAACGGCCUUUGUGACUGCAAGGCUAGAGUGCGGCAGAGGGGGAUGGAAUUCCGCGUGUAGCAGUGAAAUGCGUAGAUAUGCGGAGGAACACCGAUGGCGAAGGCAAUCCCCUGGGCCUGCACUGACGCU